rnacentral:rRNA from 1 species
GAUGAACGCUGGCGGCGUGCCUAAUACAUGCAAGUAGAACGCUGAAGCUUGGUGCUUGCACCGAGCGGAUGAGUUGCGAACGGGUGAGUAACGCGUAGGUAACCUGCCUGGUAGCGGGGGAUAACUAUUGGAAACGAUAGCUAAUACCGCAUGACAACAGUUAUUGCAUGAUAACUGUUUAAAAGGGGCAACUGCUCCACUACCAGAUGGACCUGCGUUGUAUUAGCUAGUUGGUGAGGUAACGGCUCACCAAGGCGACGAUACAUAGCCGACCUGAGAGGGUGAUCGGCCACACUGGGACUGAGACACGGCCCAGACUCCUACGGGAGGCGGCAGUAGGGAAUCUUCGGCAAUGGACGGAAGUCUGACCGAGCAACGCCGCGUGAGUGAAGAAGGUUUUCGGAUCGUAAAGCUCUGUUGUAAGAGAAGAACGAGUGUGAGAGUGGAAAGUUCAC